rnacentral:rRNA from 1 species
AUUGAACGCUGGCGGCAGGCUUAACACAUGCAAGUCGAGCGGAGAUGAGGUGCUUGCACCUUAUCUUAGCGGCGGACGGGUGAGUAAUGAUUAGGAAUCUGCCUAUUAGUGGGGGACAACAUUCCGAAAGGAAUGCUAAUACCGCAUACGCCCUACGGGGAAAGCAGGGGAUCUUCGGACCUUGCGCUAAUAGAUGAGCCUAAGUCGGAUGAGCUAGUUGGUAGGGUAAAGGCCUACCAAGGCGACGAUCUGUAGCGGGUCUGAGAGGAUGAUCCGCCACACUGGGACUGAGACACGGCCCAGACUCCUACGGGAGGCAGCAGUGGGGAAUAUUGGACAAUGGGCGGAAGCCUGAUCCAGCCAUGCCGCGUGUGUGAAGAAGGCCUUUUGGUUGUAAAGCACUUUAAGCGAGGAGGAGGCUACCUGGAUUAAUACUCUAGGAUAGUGGACGUUACUCGCAGAAUAAGCACCGGCUAACUCUGUGCCAGCCGCCGCCGUAAGAC